rnacentral:rRNA from 1 species
UAUCCGGAAUUAUUGGGCGUAAAGGGCUCGUAGGCGGUUCGUCGCGUCCGGUGUGAAAGUCCAUCGCUUAACGGUGGAUCCGCGCCGGGUACGGGCGGGCUUGAGUGCGGUAGGGGAGACUGGAAUUCCCGGUGUAACGGUGGAAUGUGUAGAUAUCGGGAAGAACACCAAUGGCGAAGGCAGGUCUCUGGGCCGUCACUGACGCUGAGGAGCGAAAGCGUGGGGAGCGAACAGGAUUAGAUACUCCUGGUAGUCCACGCCGUAAAAGGUGGAUGCUUGGAUGUGGGGA